CCGUUCGGGUUAGUAAAGCUACUUUCAGGUAGGGAGGAAGGUAGUAGUAGUUAACACCUGCAUUAUUUGACGUUACCUACAGAAGAAGCACCGGCUAACUCCGUGCCAGCAGCCGCGGUAAUACGGAGGGUGCGAGCGUUAAUCGGAAUUACUGGGCGUAAAGCGCAUGCAGGCGGCCUGUUAAGUCAGAUGUGAAAGCCCGGGGCUUAACCUCGGAAUUGCAUUUGAAACUGGCAGGCUAGAGUCUUGUAGAGGGGGGUAGGAAUUUCAGGUGUAGCGGUGAAAUGCGUAGAGAUCUGAAGGAAUACCAGUGGCGAAGGCGGCCCCCUGGACAAAGACUGACGCUCAGAUGCGAAAGCGUGGGGAGCAAACAGGAUUAGAUACCCUGGUAG
rnacentral:rRNA from 1 species